CCCUUAGAUGUUCUGGGCCGCACGCGUGCUACACUGAGUGGAUCAGCGGGUCAGGUUGCGCGAAAGCGUUUCCUAAUCUUUAAAUCCGCUCGUGAUGGGGAUUGACGGUUGCAAUUUUCUGUCAUGAACGAGGAAUACCUUGUAAGCGCGGGUCAUCAUCCCGCGCUGAAUACGUCCCUGCCCUUUGUACACACCGCCCGUGGCUCCUACCGAUUGAGUGGUCCGGUGAGGCUUUGGGAUCUGAGCGGAAAGAGCGUUUCGCUGUUUCUGCUCGGAAAACUCAGUCGAACCUUAUCAUUUAGAGGAAGGAGAAGUCGUAACA
rnacentral:rRNA from 1 species